rnacentral:rRNA from 1 species
GACGGAUGGGGCUAGCGUUGUUCGGAAUUACUGGGCGUAAAGCGCACGUAGGCGGAUCGAUCAGUCAGGGGUGAAAUCCCAGGGCUCAACCCUGGAACUGCCUUUGAUACUGUCGAUCUGGAGUAUGGAAGAGGUGAGUGGAAUUCCGAGUGUAGAGGUGAAAUUCGUAGAUAUUCGGAGGAACACCAGUGGCGAAGGCGGCUCACUGGUCCAUUACUGACGCUGAGGUGCGAAAGCGUGGGGAGCAAACAGG